AUUGAACGCUGGCGGCAGGCUUAACACAUGCAAGUCGAACGAGUGGCGGACGGGUGAGUAAUGCUUGGGAAUCUAGCUUAUGGAGGGGGAUAACUACGGGAAAAUGUAGCUAAUACCGCGCACCUAAGGAUGAGCCCAAGUGGGAUUAGGUAGUUGGUGAGGUAAAGGCUUACAAAGCAGACGAUCUCCAGCUGGUCCGAGAGGAUGACCAGCCACACUGGGACUGAGACACGGCCCAGACUCCUACGGGAGGCAGCAGUGGGGAAUAUUGCGCAAUGGGGGCAACCUGACGCAGCCAGGCCGCGUGAAUGAAGAAGGCCUUCGGGUUGUAAAGUUCUUUCGGUAGCGAGGCGUUAACUACAGAAGAAGCGCCGGCUAACUCCGUGCCAGCAGCCGCGGUAAUAC
rnacentral:rRNA from 1 species